UCCCUGCCUCCCGGCUUCGGGUCUCAUUCUGUUGGUCAGUUCGUUCUGUUCAUUAGAUGCCACAGGUGAGGAGAUCAUGUGACCUGUGUCUUUCUCAGUUUGGCUUAUUCCGCUGAGCGUCACACUCUCCAGGUCCAUCCUCGCUGCCCCAGAGGGUCAGGAUCCCUCUUUUCACAGCUGCACAGUGUUCCAGGGAGGACCUGGCCCUCC